CUCAAUUCAUAUCUGGGACAGAUACGCUAUAAAAUACGAACUUACAACAAUAACCUCUCCCCUCACCCCCAUAUACCGAAACAGGGCAUUUAUCCCAGGUAUGAGGCCUAGAGAUUUCAAAGGCCUAGAGAGAGCAGAUCUCCAACGCGUCCACCAACUAUACAUAGGAGAAGAAAUAAUUCCGUUCUCGGAAUUACAAACUAGAACAACUCUGACCCCUGCAGAUUUCUUCAGG